UACGUAGGGACCAAGCGUUGUCCGGAAUCAUUGGGCGUAAAGCGCGUGUAGGCGGUCCGGUAAGUCCGCUGUGAAAGUCGGGGGCUUAACCCUCGGAUGCCGGUGGAUACUGUCGGGCUUGAGUACGGAAGAGGCGAGUGGAACUCCUGGUGUAGCGGUGGAAUGCGCAGAUAUCAGGAAGAACACCGACGGCGAAGGCAGCUCGCUGGGACGGUACUGACGCUGAGGCGCGAAAGCGUGGGGAGCAAACAGG
rnacentral:rRNA from 1 species